rnacentral:rRNA from 1 species
CAGCCGCCACGGGAAUACGAAGGGGGCUAGCGUUGCUCGGAAUUACUGGGCGUAAAGGGAGCGUAGGCGGACAUUUAAGUCAGGGGUGAAAUCCCGGGGCUCAACCUCGGAAUUGCCUUUGAUACUGGGUGUCUUGAGUAUGAGAGAGGUAUGUGGAACUCCGAGUGUAGAGGUGAAAUUCGUAGAUAUUCGGAAGAACACCAGUGGCGAAGGCGACAUACUGGCUCAUUACUGACGCUGAGGCUCGAAAGCGUGGGGAGCAAACAGGAUUAGAUACCCCUGUAGUCCCUGUCUCUUAUAC